rnacentral:rRNA from 1 species
CGUAGAGAAAUCGAGUCUUAAUAGGGCGUUUAGUUGCUGGGUAUAGACCCGAAACCAGGCGAUCUAUCCAUGAGCAGGUUGAAGGUUGGGUAACACUAACUGGAGGACCGAACCCACUGUCGUUGAAAAGCCAGGGGAUGACUUGUGGAUAGGGGUGAAAGGCUAAUCAAGCCUGGUGAUAGCUGGUUCUCCCCGAAAGCUAUUUAGGUAGCGCCUCGGACGAAUACCAUAGGGGGUAGAGCACUGUUUCGGCUAGGGGGUCAUCCCGACUUACCAAACCGAUGCAAACUCCGAAUACCUAUGAGUACUAUCCGGGAGACAGACUGCGGGUGCUAACGUCCGUAGUCAAGAGGAAAACAAUCCAGACCGCCAGCUAAGGCCCCAAAAUCAUAGUUAAGUGGGAAACGAUGUGGGAAGGCAUAGACAGCUAGGAGGUUGGCUUAGAAGCAGCCACCCUUUAAAGAAAGCGUAAUAGCUCACUAGUCGAGUCGGCCUGCGCGGAAGAUGUAACGGGGCUAAAACUAUGUGCCGAAGCUGCGGAUGUAUACUUUGUAUACGUGGUAGGGGAGCGU